rnacentral:rRNA from 1 species
UACAGAGGGUGCGAGCGUUAAUCGGAAUUACUGGGCGUAAAGCGCACGUAGGCGGCUUUGCAAGUCAGGUGUGAAAUCCCCGGGCUUAACCUGGGAACUGCAUUUGAGACUGCAUUGCUAGAGUAUGGGAGAGGGAAGUGGAAUUUCAGGUGUAGCGGUGAAAUGCGUAGAUAUCGGGAGGAACACCGGUGGCGAAGGCGGUUCUCUGGGCCUUACCUGACGCUGAGGAGCGAAAGCGUGGGGAGCGAACAGG